rnacentral:rRNA from 1 species
AACGAACGCUGGCGGCAUGCCUAACACAUGCAAGUCGAACGAAGGCUUCGGCCUUAGUGGCGCACGGGUGCGUAACGCGUGGGAACCUGCCCCUCGGUUCGGAAUAACAGUUAGAAAUGACUGCUAAUACCGGAUGAUGACUUCGGUCCAAAGAUUUAUCGCCGAGGGAUGGGCCCGCGUAGGAUUAGCUAGUUGGUGGGGUAAAGGCCUACCAAGGCGACGAUCCUUAGCUGGUCUGAGAGGAUGAUCAGCCACACUGGGACUGAGACACGGCCCAGACUCCUACGGGAGGCAGUAGUGGGGAAUAUUGGACAAUGGGCGAAAGCCUGAUCCAGCAAUGCCGCGUGAGUGAUGAAGGCCUUAGGGUUGUAAAGCUCUUUUACCAGGGAUGAUAAUGACAGUACCUGGAGAAUAAGCUCCGGCUAACU